rnacentral:RNase_P_RNA from 1 species
AAUGUUCUUUUACAUGAUCGCCCUUGCUUUUAGCUUGGGAGGAAAGUCCGAGCAACUUGUAUGUGACAUAGUGGAUAACAUCCAUCUGCUAGAAACCUAAUAAGAUCUAGUACGGGCUAGUGCCACAGAGACUAUACUAACUAUGGCUUGCCAUAGUGAAAGGUGAAAAGUCCCGCUUAGCGGGAGUGAAAAUGUGGUCCCCAUGGCAAAGCGUGAAACUUGCUUUGUUAAAUAAGGCGCGCAGAGCGCAACCAAAUGGGAUCUCCAUUGCUGGUAAACCCUAUGUGUUGCAAGGUGGGAUGGGAGCUCUAAGGAUUAGAAUACAUACAUUCUCUUAGUCUGCCCACCGCUUGAGCCAAGCGGUAACGCUUGGCCCAGAUAGAUGAUCAUGACCUAGCGCCUCGGCGCUUUGGCACAGAACUCGGCUUAUAAAAGGACAUUGGAU